rnacentral:rRNA from 1 species
GCCUAACACAUGCAAGCCGAACGCGAAAGUGGAGCAAUCCAUGAGUAGAGUGGCAAACGGGUGAGUAACGCGUGGGUGACCUGCCUUCGAGUGGGGGAUAACGUUCCGAAAGGGACGCUAAUACCGCAUGACAUCCGGCCUUUGAAGAGGCGGAGAUCAAAGCUGGGGAUCGCAAGACCUAGCGCUCGAUGAGGGGCCCGCGUCUGAUUAGCUAGUUGGUGGGGUAACGGCUCACCAAGGCAACGAUCAGUAUCCGGCCUGAGAGGGCGGACGGACACACUGGGACUGAGACACGGCCCAGACUCCUACGGGAGGCAGCAGUGGGGAAUUGUUCGCAAUGGGCGCAAGCCUGACGACGCAACGCCGCGUGGAGGAUGAAGAUCUUCGGGUCGUAAACUCCUUUCGAUCGAGACGAACAGCCUUCGGGUAAACAAUCCGGAGGUCUGACGGUACCGAGAGAAGAAGCCCCGGCUAACUCCGUGCCAGCAGCCGCGGUAAUACGGGGGGGGCAAGCGUUGUUCGGAAUUACUGGGCGUAAAGGGCUCGUAGGCGG